UGCAUAGGUGGUGGUGGUGGUGCUACAUAAUUCUUCCUAACAUUUCCACAUUAGUCACUGCAUUAUUGAAGAAAACAUUUAAAAUUGCAGCAUUAUGUACAAAUGGUUGAAUGGCAGGAUUGAUAGUAGCAUAGAAAUUACCUCCCUGUUGGCAAUUGAAUGACCUUACUCUUUAUGUUGGAAUAGCCAUUGGAGUUGUUUCUCUCCUUUGAUGUUGUUGCUAAUGUUGCUCUUCCUGGGUUGGUGUUACUUGCACUUCAUUAGACUCUUUUUGGUUACUCAUGACGGGACUCUUGAGGUUGUCACUGCCCCUCGGGCAAUCUAGCUUCAGGUAGAUUCCUCACGAACCCUUUGCUAAUCCAUUCUAGUUGAACAG
rnacentral:misc_RNA from 1 species